GGUUAAGCUAAUAAGUGCGCACGGAGGAUGCCUAGGCGCCAGGAGCCGAAGAAGGACGCGACGAACAGCGAUAUGCUUCGGGGAGCUGUAAGUGAGCUUUGAUCCGGAGAUUUCCGAAUGGGGAAACCCAGCUGGGGUAAUGCCCAGUUACCCUCGACUGAAUAAAUAGGUCGUUGGAGGCACACCAGGGGAACUGAAACAUCUAAGUACCCUGAGGAAAAGAAAACAAUAGUGAUUCCGUCAGUAGCGGCGAGCGAAAGCGGAGUAGCCCAAACCUGAGAGCUUGCUCUUAGGGGUUGUGGGACGUCUCACAUGGAGUAAGAAAAGAGGAUAUUAGGCGAAGAGGUCUGGAAAGGCCCGUCACAGAAGGUAAAAACCCUGUAGCCGAAAAUAUCCUCUCUCCGAGACGGAUCCCGAGUACCGCGGGUCACGUGAAACCCCGUGGGAAU
rnacentral:rRNA from 1 species